AGUUCGCCUAGUUAUUGUGAUCGAAAAAAAACUAUUUAUGCAGAUUUGCCAUUUCAAUAAAUCAUAACAAUUUACCCUGUACACUGGAUGAUCGCUACUUUUCACGGACUACUUAACAGUAGAGCGUUGUAUAGGGAAAGUGAUGGCAACCGUACGUCCGGAUAUCGGAAAAACCCGCGUUCUAAAUGAGAACGUUUA